rnacentral:rRNA from 1 species
CGAGUGGCGAACGGGUGAGUAACACGUGGGUGAUCUGCCCUGCACUUCGGGAUAAGCCUGGGAAACUGGGUCUAAUACCGGAUAGGACGAUGGUUUGGAUGCCAUUGUGGAAAGUUUUUCGGUGUGAGAUGAGCUCGCGGCCUAUCAGCUUGUUGGUGGGGUAAUGGCCUACCAAGGCGUCGACGGGUAGCCGGCCUGAGAGGGUGUACGGCCACAUUGGGACUGAGAUACGGCCCAG